UACAGAGGGUGCGAGCGUUAAUCGGAAUUACUGGGCGUAAAGCGUGCGUAGACGGUUAUUUAAGUCGGAUGUGAAAGCCCCGGGCUCAACCUGGGAAUUGCAUUCGAGACUGAAUAGCUAGGGUACGGUAGAGGGAAGCGGAAUUUCCGGUGUAGCGGUGGAAUGCGUAGAGAUCGGGAAGAACAUCAGUGGCGAAGGCGGCCUCCUGGACCAAUACUGACACUCAAGUGCGAAAGCGUGGGGAGCAAACAGG
rnacentral:rRNA from 1 species